rnacentral:rRNA from 1 species
UACAGAGGUCUCAAGCGUUGUUCGGAUUCAUUGGGCGUAAAGGGUGCGUAGGUGGCGCCGUAAGUCGGGGUGUGAAAUUUCGGAGCUUAACUCCGAAACUGCAUUCGAUACUGCGGUGCUUGAGGACUGGAGAGGAGACUGGAAUUCAUGGUGUAGCAGUGAAAUGCGUAGAGAUCAUGAGGAAGACCAGUGGCGAAGGCGGGUCUCUGGACAGUCCUGACACUGAGGCACGAAGGCCAGGGGAGCAAACGGG